CAACUAUACGGUGAAACUGCGAAUGGCUCAUUAAAUCAGUUAUCGUUUAUUUGAUAGUACCUUACUACAUGGAUAACCGUGGUAAUUCUAGAGCUAAUACAUGCUAAAAACCCCGACUUCGGAAGGGGUGUAUUUAUUAGAUAAAAAACCAAUGCCCUUCGGGGCUCUCUGGUGAUUCAUAAUAACUUAACGAAUCGCAUGGCCUUGCGCCGGCGAUGGUUCAUUCAAAUUUCUGCCCUAUCAACUUUCGAUUGUAGGAUAGAGGCCUACAAUGGUAUCAACGGGUAACGGGGAAUUAGGGUUCGAUUCCGGAGAGGGAGCCUGAGAAACGGCUACCACAUCCAAGGAAGGCAGCAGGCGCGCAAAUUACCCAAUCCCGACAUGGGGAGGUAGUGACAAUAAAUACUGAUACAGGGCUCUUUUGGGUCUUGUAAUUGGAAUGAGUACAAUCUAAAUCCCUUAACGAGGAACAAUUGGAGGGCAAGUCUGGUGCCAGCAGCCGCGGUAAUUCCAGCUCCAAUAGCGUAUAUUAAAGUUGUUGCAGUUAAAAAGCUCGUAGUUGAACCUUGGGCCUGGCUGGCCGGUCCGCCUCACCGCGUGCACUGGUUCGGCCGGGCCUUUCCUUCUGGGGAACCGCAUGCCCUUCACUGGGCGUGCCGGGGAACCAGGACUUUUACUUUGAAAAAAUUAGAGUGUUCAAAGCAGGCCUUCGCUCGAAUACAUUAGCAUGGAAUAAUAGAAUAGGACGUGCGGUUCUAUUUUGUUGGUUUCUAGGACCGCCGUAAUGAUUAAUAGGGAUAGUCGGGGCCAUCCGU
rnacentral:rRNA from 1 species